UACAGAGGUCCCAAGCGUUGUUCGGAUUCACUGGGCGUAAAGGGUGCGUAGGCGGUCAUUUAAGUCUGACGUGAAAUCUCCGGGCCUAACCCGGAAACUGCGUUGGAAACUAUCUGACUAGAGGAAUGGAGGGGAGACUGGAAUACUUGGUGUAGCGGUGAAAUGCGUAGAUAUCAAGUGGAACACCAGUGGCGAAGGCGAGUCUCUGGACAGUUCCUGACGCUGAGGCACGAAAGCCAGGGGAGCAAACGGG
rnacentral:rRNA from 1 species